GAAAUAUUGAAAGUUAAUUUGUACAAAAAGCUGUGGCAGGUGGUGACGUGAUUUUUGCCCAGUACUUUGAAUGUCGAAGUGAAGAAAUUCACCAAGUCGCAGGUAAAUUGAUGGGUAUAGCUAUGGCUCUCUUGAAAAAGUGAAAGUGAAGUCGCUCAGUCGUGUCCAACUCUUUGCGACCCCAUGGAUUAUAGCCUACCAGGCUCCUCUGUCCAUAAGAUUUUCCAGCCAAGAGUACUGGAGUGGGUUGCAAUUUCCUUCUCCAGGGGAUCUUCCUGACUCAGGGAUCGAACCCAGUUCUCCUGCAUUGUAGGCAGAGGCUUUAUUGUCUGAGCCACCAGGAAGUCUCUUUUAAGGUAGCCAAAUUCCUCACCAUAUAAUUAGGGACAUGCAUGAAUGGAAGAAUGAUAUUCC
rnacentral:ncRNA from 1 species